rnacentral:rRNA from 1 species
UACGUAGGGGGCGAGCGUUGUCCGGAAUCAUUGGGCGUAAAGCGCGCGUAGGCGGCCCGGUAAGUCCGCUGUAAAAGUCCAGGGCUCAACCCUGGAAAGCCGGUGGAUACUGUCGGGCUAGAGUCCGGAAGAGGCGAGUGGAAUUCCUGGUGUAGCGGUGGAAUGCGCAGAUAUCAGGAGGAACACCGAUGGCGAAGGCAGCUCGCUGGGACGUUACUGACGCUGAGACGCGAAAGCGUGGGGAGCAAACAGG